UGUAUGUGCAUUGAAACUGCUCAGGCCAAACUGGAAAGAUUAUUGUGCUCCUUACUACUCUGUGGAAUAUUAUAGGACCAUAUAUGCAGAUGCUGUAAAUCCACUAGAAGACAUAAGUGAAUGGAACUGGGAAGAUAAGGCAUCCAUGGACAUCAACUUAAAGCCUCCUCCUUAUCAAAGAAAAACUGGAAGACCAGCAAAGAAGAGGAAGAGGAGCUAUGAUGAACCUGAAACUGUGGUGAAGAAAAGGAAAUGUGGAAAGUGUGGAUCUACUGCUGGUCAUAAUAAGAGAACCUGUGCUGGUGGUGAUG